rnacentral:rRNA from 1 species
CCAAUAGCGUAUAUUAAAGUUGUUGCAGUUAAAAAGCUCGUAGUUGAAUUUCGGGAUCAGCAUGUCGGUCGUGCCUCUGGUACGUACUGGUAUCGUUGAUUUCUACCUUCUGACGAGCUGUGAUGUCAUUAAUUUGGUGUCAUGGGAAAUCAGGACUGUUACUUUGAAAAAAUUAGAGUGUUUAAAGCAGGCACACGCUUGAAUACAUUAGCAUGGAAUAAUGAAAUAGGACGUUUGACCCUAUUUUGUUGGUUUCUAGGAUCGACGUAAUGAUUAAUAGGGAUGGUUGGGGGCAUUAGUAUUCAAUUGUCAGAGGUGAAAUUCUUGGAUUUAUUGAAGACUGACUACUGCGAAAGCAUUUGCCAAGGAUGUUUUCAUUAAUCAAGAACGAAAGUUAGGGGAUCGAAGACGAUCAGAUACCGUCGUAGUCUUAACCAUAAACUAUGCCGACUAGGGAUCGGAUGAUGUUAAUUUUUUAAUGACUCAUUCGGCGCCUUACG